UACUUGGUUGAUCCUGCCAAGGAAGCACACUUAGGUCAUAGAUUAAGCCAUGCAAGUGUUAGUUCAGGUAACGAAACUGCGAAUAGCUCAUUAAUACGCUCAGAAUCUAUUUGGCGGCGACCAACAGGUCUUAAAUGGAUAGCAGCAGCAACUCUGGUGCUAAUACAUGCGAUUGUUUCUCCAGAUGUGAAUUAUGGAGGAAAAGUUGACCUCAUCAGAGGCACGCCAUUCGACUGAGUGACCUAUCAGCUUGUACUUAGGGUCUUUACCUAGGUAGGCUAUCACGGGUAACGGGCGGUUACCGUCGGACUGCCGGAGAAGGCGCCUGAGAGAUAGCGACUAUAUCCACGGGUAGCAGCAGGCGCGAAACUUUCCCACUCGAGACUUUCGGAGGAGGUAAUGACCAGUUCCAUUGGUGCCUUUUGGUACUGUGGAUAGGGGUACGGUUUUCCACCGUACCGAAACCUAGCAGAGGGCCAGUCUGGUGCCAGCAGCUGCGGUAAUUCCAGCUCUGCGAGUUUGCUCCCAUAUUGUUGCAGUUAAAACGCCCGUAGUCUGAAUUGGCCAGCAAUGGUCGUACGUAUUUUUACGUUCACUGUGAACAAAUCAGGACGCUUAGAGUAUGGCCACAUGAAUGACUCAGCGCAGUAUGAAGUCUUUGUUUUCUUCCGAAAACAAGCUCAAUGAGAGCCAUCGGGGGUAGAUCUAUCUCAUGACGAGUGGUGGAAUACUUUGACUCAUGAGAGAGAAGCUGAGGCGAAGGCGUCUACCUAGAGGGUUUCUGUCGAUCAAGGGCGAGAGUAGGAGUAUCCAACAGGAUUAGAGACCCUGGUAGUUCCUACCUUAAACGAUGCCGACAGGAGUUUGUCAUUUGUUAAUGGCAGAAUCUUGGAGA
rnacentral:ncRNA from 2 species